rnacentral:rRNA from 1 species
UACAGAGGGGGCAAGCGUUAUUCGGAAUUAUUGGGCGUAAAGGGCGCGUAGGCGGUUCUUUAAGUCAGAUGUGUAAUCCCCGGGCUCAACUUGGGAACUGCAUCUGAGACUGUAGGACUAGAGUGCUGGAGAGGGUGGUAGAAUUCCACGUGUAGCGGUGAAAUGCGUAGAGAUGUGGAGGAAUACCAGUGGCGAAGGCGGCCACCUGGACAGUAACUGACGCUGAGGCGCGAAAGUGUGGGUAG